rfam:Myotis lucifugus cont2.33236, whole genome shotgun sequence.
CAUGCACUGGUGGGGUCCCUCGGCCUGGCCUGUGCCCUCUCUCAAUCUGGGACCCCUUGGGAGAUAUCAGACUGCCAGUUUUGGCCCAAUCCCCACAGGCCAGGCCGAGGGACCCCAUCGGUGCACG